rnacentral:ribozyme from 12 species
AAAGAAAGAAAGAAAGAAAGAAGGAAAGAAAGAUGUUUGUUUGAACAACUUGACGUUGCUAUUAUCCAUUUUUUCCCU